GAGGAACACCGAUGGCGAAGGCAGGUCUCUGGGCCAAUACUGACACUGAGGAGCGAAAGCGUGGGGAGCGAACAGGAUUAGAUACCCUGGUAGUCCACGCCGUAAACGGUGGGCGCUAGUUGUGCGAACCUUCCACGGUUUGUGCGACGCAGCUAACGCAUUAAGCGCCCCGCCUGGGGAGUACGAUCGCAAGAUUAAAACUCAAAGGAAUUGACGGGGCCCCGCACAAGCAGCGGAGCAUGCGGCUUAAUUCGACGCAACGCGAAGAACCUUACCAAGGCUUGACAUAUACAGGAAUACGGCAGAGAUGUCGUAGCGGUUAAACGUCUGUAUACAGGUGGUGCAUGGUUGUCGUCAGCUCGUGUCGUGAGAUGUUGGGUUAAGUCCCGCAACGAGCGCAACCCUCGUUCUGUGUUGCCAGCAUUUAGUUGGGGACUCACAGGAGACUGCCGGGGUUAACUCGGAGGAAGGUGGGGAUGACGUCAAAUCAUCAUGCCCCUUAUGUCUUGGGCUGCACGCAUGCUACAAUGGCUGGUACAAAGGGCUGCAAUACUGCAAAGUGGAGCGAAUCCCAAAAAGCCAGUCUCAGUUCGGAUUGGGGUCUGCAACUCGACCCCAUGAAGUCGGAGUUGCUAGUAAUCGUAGAUCAGCAACGCUACGGUGAAUACGUUCCCGGGGCUUGUACACACCGCCCGUCACAUCACGAAAGUCGGUAACACCCGAAGUCAGUGCCCAACCGCAAGGAGGGAGCUGCCGAAG
rnacentral:rRNA from 1 species